GCCAGUGUUGUAUAGUGGUUUGAAUGCUGGACUACAACUCUGGAGACCUGGGUUGAAAUCCCGGCUUGGCCA